AUUUUUGAGGUGAGAAAAGGCUCCUCAUGCGCUGGAACUAUUCAGUAAACAGAGAUGCAGGAAAUGUCGCCCUGCCAUAAA
rnacentral:ncRNA from 1 species